ensembl:snoRNA
CUGUAUCAUUGAUGUUUUAAAAUGCUGCCUGGUUAUAUGUGAGCAGUGUUAUUUCUUAUGUGCUAUACAGAUAGUUGAAGGUUAAUUAGCAGUAUAACUAUAAAUAGUAAUGCUGCCAGUCUCCUUCAGACAAGA